rnacentral:rRNA from 1 species
AACGAACGCUGGCGGCAUGCCUAACACAUGCAAGUCGAACGAGACCUUCGGGUCUAGUGGCGCACGGGUGCGUAACGCGUGGGAACCUGCCCUUAGGUUCGGAAUAACUCCCCGAAAGGGGUGCUAAUACCGGAUAAUGUCUUCGGACCAAAGAUUUAUCGCCUUUGGAUGGGCCCGCGUUGGAUUAGCUAGUUGGAAGGGUAAAAGCCUACCAAGGCGACGAUCCAUAGCUGGUCUGAGAGGAUGAUCAGCCACACUGGGACUGAGACACGGCCCAGACUCCUACGGGAGGCAGCAGUGGGGAAUAUUGGACAAUGGGCGAAAGCCUGAUCCAGCAAUGCCGCGUGAGUGAUGAAGGCCUUAGGGUUGUAAAGCUCUUUUACCCAGGAUGAUAAUGACAGUACCGGGAGAAUAAGCUCCGGCUAACUCCGUG